GCAUCAUUCCCCCACAGGCUCCCCUAGUCCAGACACCAUCCUUCCCCCCGGUUGCGUGGUGGCAGCCGUUACCUGGAAGAUUGAGUCGGCAGAGAGGGAGGCACAAAGAACACACCCCGAUCCAGUAACCGGAGAACUCUGAGAACUCUCUACUCAAGAGGAGACCGCCAAGGUGGACCGCCAUGGAGUCGUACACAAUUCCUUUAGUCCAGCAUCAUCUCCACCACUGCCGCAGGGUGUGGAGGAAGACCCUUCUCUUAUUCGCUGAGAACAACCGUCUCCUGGCUGACCUGCACUGACUCCCAGCUCCUGAGUACAGACAAGGUCAGAAUGUUUGGUUGUCUUCCAGAAAUAUUCCCCUGAGAACUGUGUCAAGUUAUCACCUCGCUUUCUUGGCCCCUUUGUCAUCGAGAAGGUACAACAUUCCCACGUCUAACCUGAGACCCCUGCUCUGUCCAGCCAGCUCGCUUCCUCCCCAUUCCUGUUACCUGUGUUUAGAAUAAACCUGAGUUACCGUU